UGCAAGUCGAGCGGUAGAGAGGUGCCUGCACCUCUUGAGAGCGGCGGACGGGUGAGUAAUACCUAGGAAUCUGCCUGGUAGUGGGGGAUAACGUUCGGAAACGGACGCUAAUACCGCAUACGUCCUACGGGAGAAAGCAGGGGACCUUAGGGCCUUGCGCUAUCAGAUGAGCCUAGGUCGGAUUAGCUAGUUGGUGAGGUAAUGGCUCACCAAGGCUACGAUCCGCAACUGGUCUGAGAGGAUGAUCAGUCACACUGGAACUGAGACACGGUCCAGACUCUUACGGGAGGCAGCAGUGGGGAAUAUUGGACAAUGGGCGAAAGCCUGAUCCAGCCAUGCCGCGUGUGUGAAGAAGGUCUUCGGAUUGUAAAGCACUUUAAGUUGGGAGGAAGGGCAUUAACCUAAUACGUUAGUGCUUUGACGUUACCGACAGAAUAAGCACCGGCUAACUCU
rnacentral:rRNA from 1 species